rnacentral:rRNA from 1 species
UACAGAGGUCUCAAGCGUUGUUCGGAUUCAUUGGGCGUAAAGGGUGCGUAGGUGGCGCUGUAAGUCGGGUGUGAAAUCCCUCGGCUCAACCGGGGAACUGCGUCCGAUACUGGUGGGCUCGAAUCCGGGAGAGGGAUGUGGAAUUCCAGGUGUAGCGGUGAAAUGCGUAGAUAUCGAGAGGAACACCAGUGGCGAAGGCGAGUCUCUGGACACUUCCUGACGCUGAGGCACGAAAGCCAGGGGGAGCAAACGGG